CCAACUUUUUUGUGGUGAAGUAUAUAGAAACUCACAAGUCCCCUUUUUUAUCAACCCAGCAUCAUUUUUGUUACCACUGGGACCACCAUUGGACGAUAGUAUGUACUUAAUAAGCGUAAAUAUAAAUGACGUAAAGUUCAUGUUUUAUAUUCUAUCUAUACAUGAAUAUAAGCUAUAAUAUUAUGAAUUUUUACAUAAAUCUUAAUGCUCAUUAACAAUUAGAUAGAAAUCUAGAACUGCUUACAACACUUAAAAAGUACUAGUUAGAUUCAUAGUUAAUAGAAGUCACUUUAGUGAUGCAAUUUGCAUAUUCCCAGUAGACUUUGAAUCCUAGAUCAAGGAAAAACGUUUCAAGAUAAAAGCCAUAAGAUUCGUACUUUUUGUACUAAUCAUUUAUUUAUUUGUUCAUGAAAUUUUGGCUUUUAAUUGGAGUGUGUAUUUCUGAUUCUCUUUUUCUACAAAAGUAAAUUAUAUAUCACAGUGCCUACUAAUUUGUUGUCGUUUGAUCACACCUAUAUUAAACGACUAUGACUAGAUGGGCAUGCAAUGCAUAUUAAGAAAAAUGCGUAAUGUUUUUUUGGGUGGAUAUCAACGUGAUGAGAAUAGUUUUAUCACGUUGGAAGAAUGCGAUAAAACUUAUUACAUUUUACAAUAGUGCUGAUUGUAUAGUAAUCUUAUUCCAAAUAAAUAAUCUAUAUAUAUUCCAAUGAAAGAACGAAUGAUACAAGUAUGUGCAAGAAAUAUGUAAAUCUUGUUAACAAAUCUUGGAAAUCAUUUUUCAAAUCAAGAAAAUGAAUAUUAAUUAUGCGUGAGAUUUUAUCUUAUUUUUUUUUAUAGUAGUGUGGUAUUCCACAAAUGAUGUAAAUUAUAAUUAAUAGAUAGGAAUACGAGGAUUUAAUAAAUAAACGAGACAGAGAAGCAUAUAAAUUUGUACGAGUUGUGUGGAGUAUGAUACAAUAUAUAUGCCUAUACGUGAAUAAUUACUAUGAACAUUGCCUAUGAACAAAAAUUUAAAUUACUUAUGAAGAUUAUAAUAAAUGAACAAAAAUUUAAAGAUAAACCUAGAAAAAGUUUAUGGAAGGUAUUGUUUAAAUAUGGUUUUUGUCAUAAUAUUCCUUUGUUUGAGAUUAACAUAAUCACAAACUGUUACCUAAUUGUCAAAGCUCUAAUUGGUUAGAUUCUACUUACUAUAUUGUUUCUUGUCCUAUUCUCGCUUCAUACAAACUUCUUAAAGAGUACUUAAUAAGCCUUCCAAAAACAUAAUGAAACUGUAGGGAACCAAUGAAAUUCCAAUUUCCGAUCGGAAAUUAUAGUUAUAAACAUAUUUCAUUAAUAUAGCAGCCUCGCUUUUACUUUAACAGCGUACAUGGUUCGUAUUAGAAAUGAACUUAUUGGUAUUACCAGUAUAUUUUACGUACUAUAUAAUAAGCGGCAACAUAUCAUUGUGUUUGACCGAUGGUACAAAAGAUAACAACAAAAUUUAUCUAUGGUAGAUACGAAGUAUUGUUAAGAUAUUUAAUAUUUUUCUAUACUGUUAUAUAUAUAUUGUUACUUCAUAUAUUUAUUUUUAUUGAAAAGUGAAAAA